rnacentral:rRNA from 1 species
CCAAGGCGGCGACGGGUAGCCGGCCUGAGAGGGUGACCGGCCACAUUGGGACUGAGAUACGGCCCAGACUCCUACGGGAGGCAGCAGUGGGGAAUAUUGCACAAUGGGCGGAAGCCUGAUGCAGCAACGCCGCGUGCGGGAUGACGGCCUUCGGGUUGUAAACCGCUUUCAGCAGGGACGAAGCUUUUUGUGACGGUACCUGGAGAAGAAGCACCGGCUAACUACGUGCCAGCAGCCGCGGUGAUACGUAGGGUGCGAGCGUUGUCCGGAUUUAUUGGGCGUAAAGGGCUCGUAGGCGGUUGAUCGCGUCGGAAGUGGAAACUUGAUGCUUAACGUUGAGCGUGCUUUCGAUACGGGUUGACUUGAGGAAGGUAGGGGAGAAUGGAAUUCCUGGUGGAGCGGUGGAAUGCGCAGAUAUCAGGAGGAACACCAGUGGCGAAGGCGGUUCUCUGGACCUUUCCUGACGCUGAGGAGCGAAAGCGUGGGGAGCGAAC